rnacentral:rRNA from 1 species
UACGUAGGGUGCGAGCGUUGUCCGGAAUUACUGGGCGUAAAGAGCUCGUAGGUGGUUUGUCGCGUUGUUCGUGAAAACUCACAGCUUAACUGUGGGCGUGCGGGCGAUACGGGCAGACUGGAGUACUGCAGGGGAGACUGGAAUUCCUAGUGUAGCGGUGGAAUGCGCAGAUAUCAGGAGGAACACCGGUGGCGAAGGCGGGUCUCUGGGCAGUAACUGACGCUGAGGAGCGAAAGCGUGGGGAGCGAACAGG